rnacentral:rRNA from 1 species
UACGGGGGGAGCAAGCGUUGUUCGGAUUUACUGGGCGUAAAGGGCGCGUAGGCGGCGCAACAAGUCACUUGUGAAAUCUCCGGGCUUAACCCGGAGCGGCCAAGUGAUACUGUCGUGCUAGAGUGCGGAAGGGGCUACUGGAAUUCUCGGUGUAGCGGUGAAAUGCGUAGAUAUCAAGAGGAACACCUGAGGUGAAGACGGGUUGCUGGGCCAACACUGACGCUGAUGCGCGAAAGCCAGGGGAGCAAACGGG